CACUGAGUCAACGGGCCUUGAUCCCGUAAUCACUUAAUUAACAACUAAACACCCAAUCCAGCGGGCUUUAACUCAG
rnacentral:tRNA from 1 species